GACUGCGAGCGUGACGGCGCGAGCAGGUGCGAAAGCAGGUCAUAGUGAUCCGGUGGUUCUGAAUGGAAGGGCCAUCGCUCAACGGAUAAAAGGUACUCCGGGGAUAACAGGCUGAUACCGCCCAAGAGUUCAUAUCGACGGCGGUGUUUGGCACCUCGAUGUCGGCUCAUCACAUCCUGGGGCUGAAGUAGGUCCCAAGGGUAUGGCUGUUCGCCAUUUAAAGUGGUACGCGAGCUGGGUUUAGAACGUCGUGAGACAGUUCGGUCCCUAUCUGCCGUGGGCGCUGGAGAACUGAGGGGGGCUGCUCCUAGUACGAGAGGACCGGAGUGGACGCAUCACUGGUGUUCGGGUUGUCAUGCCAAUGGCACUGCCCGGUAGCUAAAUGCGGAAGAGAUAAGUGCUGAAAGCAUCUAAGCACGAAACUUGCCCCGAGAUGAGUUCUCCCUGAGACUUAGAGUCUCCUGAAGGAACGUUGAAGACGACGACGUUGAUAGGCCGGGUGUGUAAGCGCAGCGAUGCGUUGAGCUAACCGGUACUAAUGAACCGUGAGGCUUAACCUUAC
rnacentral:rRNA from 1 species